GACGAACGCUGGCGGCGUGCCUAAUACACGCAAGUCGAGCGAAUCCUGAGGUGCUUGCACCUCUUGGUUAGCGGCGGACGGGUGAGUAACACGUGGGCAACCUGCCUGUAAGACUGGGAUAACUUCGGGAAACCGGAGCUAAUACCGGAUAAUCCUUUUCCUCUCAUGAGGAAAAGCUGAAAGUCGGUUUCGGCUGACACUUACAGAUGGGCCCGCGGCGCAUUAGCUAGUUGGUGAGGUAACGGCUCACCAAGGCGACGAUGCGUAGCCGACCUGAGAGGGUGAGCGGCCACACUGGGACUGGGACACGGCCCAGACUCCUACGGGAGGCAGCAGUAGGGAAUCUUCCGCAAUGGACGAAAGUCUGACGGAGCAACGCCGCGUGAGCGAUGAAGGCCUUCGGGUCGUAAAGCUCUGUUGUUAGGGAAGAACAAGUAUCGGAGUAACUGCCGGUACCUUGACGGUACCUAACCAGAAAGCCACGGCUAACUACGUGCCAGCCGCCGCUGUAA
rnacentral:rRNA from 1 species